rnacentral:lncRNA from 1 species
CCGAAACGUCAUUAGUAUAUCAAUAUAAAUUGAACUCUCAAGCACUACAAUCGGCACUUUUAACACUUCUCAUCAACAUCCAUUAGUUCGUGUAAUUCAAGUGAUCGCCGGAGAUUCGGAGUACACCGGGAAACCGCCACGAUUGAAGACGAAUUCGUCGCAGGAACCAAAGUCGUCACGUCGGAAUUCGCGGCCUUUGUCAAAUCGGUUAAUCGCUCUUGUUCGUUCUGUUGGAUUUUUUCCCCCAAUCUUACUCGUACGUUGCUUACAAGAAAUCGCAACGCAACCAAUGUUGAUAGACAAGAUGUUGGGAAACAAGAUUAGGGUGGACUAGAAACUCACCUAUAAAAUAAAUUAUGUUUGAACAAUUGUUUCAUGUUCGAUUUAUCUGAACGAUUGUUAUGA